CCCCGUGUGGCUCAGCUGGUAGAGCGUGGUGUUUUGCAACGCCAGGGUUGUGGGUUCGAUUCCCACGGGGG
rnacentral:tRNA from 1 species